GCGGGUCGCUGGUCGCUCCUGGAGUCGUCUCACAAGGCCUUUCCCUCCCUCCUUUCUCCAAAAGAGGAGCCCGCAGGCGACACACCCAGCACUCUGCGAGGCCCACCAAGGCCCCGAUUCCCGAGUCCUGGAGCGAGUUGCAGCGCCCUGGCUGCAGCUGACCACUGACCUAGAGAUGUGCCUUUGCGAAGUGGCAGCGCAUGGAGAAACAGUAGCGGGUCGCUGGGGCCAGAGCCGCUCACCGGGUAGCCAGGAGCAGGCCGGAGCGAGGAGGCUCCCGGGGUGAGACCGGGGCACCCUGAACAUCAUAAAGGACUCAGACCUUGGCACUCCCGACGUCAUAAAGGACUCACACGGAUGCGGAAACCGAGACGGGCUGGAUGGAAAACUCUUUCCAGACAGGCUCCGGGGCCCUCAACUGGUCUCCGACCUUCCCCUGCAACCUGCGACACCUGCCAUUUUCCCAUCUUAGGCUCCAGAAGCAGAAUCAAGUGGGAUGUCUUGGAAGAAAAACAAACAAAAGGCCCACUAGGUGGAGUGAAAUGGAUCAGGAGCAAUUAUGUUCAAUUUCACCUUUAAGUUUUCUCAAAAGGAGGAGGAUUAAGAAUCAGCCACCUUAGUACAUACUUAAAGGUAAAUAUUACAUUUAAGAAAAUCCUUGUUAUCUUAAUGUGGCACUGAGAAAAUACUAUCAAGUACAGCACGUGGACUAAGUUAGAACAUUAAAUACACAGGAUCUCUUGAUAGAAUUAUCCUCAGACUUUCCAGUUUUAAUCUUCUAGAUUUACUGAAACCUGAUCCUGUCCCUGCUGAUGAAACGUCAGAGGAAUGGGAUCCUGUAGGUGAAGAUCAUCAGCUUAUAAAAUCCUGUUGCCAUCAAUGGGGGUAGCAGGAAAAUGAUGAAGAUUGGUUAAGGGGCCAGUGGACUCAGCAUUGAAAUGAAUCAUGGACUUGAAGCCAAAAGACUCAGUUUGUGUCCCAGCUCUCUCAAGCAAAGCCCCCAAGUCCCAGUUUCCUCAUCUAUAAAAAAUAAUAAAAAUACUUCAUGGACAAAGUUGUGUGGGAAUCAAAUGAGAUAAAAGUAUGCUCUGCAUAUACCCUAAAGUCUUAUUUAAAUAAAGGCAUUCUUUUCAUCUGAGAAAUUGAAGAAAAAGAUGCCCUGAACAAGAAAGACAGGAGAAAAGAUUUUUUUUUUUUAAAUGAAGGAUAAAAUGAUGAAAUCCCCCCAGGAGAAGAUAGUCAUUGGACAAAAGGUGGGUCAUUCUCACGUUGACCAAG
rnacentral:lncRNA from 1 species